CACUUGACAGAAAGGCUGGACUGGCUGAUUUCCUUCUGAGGAUUCUUCAGGUUCCCUUUUUCCCCACAUUAUUCAGAGAUAACAACACCUCUCCAAAUUGCUGACAGGAAUUGUUCCCAAGUCAUCACUCCAUCCAUCCACACAAGCCUUCUGUGUCACAGAAGAAUGAGUAAAGAACCCCAAACCCUGCGUUUCUCAGUUUUUAUUUAUGUGCUCAUAGCCCAUCUUUCCAUUUCUCUGCAGCCAUUCAGAACCAGUCUGGAGCAAAUAUCAUUGCAAGACCAGAGAACCUUACUUGACCAGAGGUCCUGCCCAUGUUGCCAUCCGUCUGUCCUCAGACCAUCCCAUAGGAUUAUCUACCACAGCUUCUGAGCAAUCCCAUAAUGUUCUGUGGGAUGCUGUUAUGUGGAGGAGAGACUUUGUAGCUGUAAAGUAGCCAUAGAUGUGCUGCAGAGAGACAAAUGCAUAAUCCAAAAGCGCCAUCAUACUGUGCAUGAACAGUGUGACAACAGGAUGGCUCUUGAGAUGGUUCAUUGGGAUCAUAAAUACCAGCAUUCAGGAGUAGGGCCCUCACUAUGAGCAUAGAGCUUGGCUUCUGGUAACGUCAAAUAGAGAAUCUGGGGUGCUGGAUAGAGUGUGGUAGGAAAAAUGGAUGAAGAGAGCUGUGUUCCUAGAGUGACUAAAAUCUUGCAGUGCUUAUAACCCGGACACAAAGGAUAUUAUGGGAUCCUUGGAGAUGCCUGUGAGAAACAAGCAGAAUUGUCCUGUGUUCCUCCCUUCUUUUUGCUCUCAUCAAUGAUGGCAAGUCUUCGUCACCUGUAGUGUCCUUUCCUCAAAGCUGCCAGAUGGACAGCACUUGCA